UAGCGACUGGGGUCAUAAGACCAUGAUAACCUUAUAGAAAGAAAAUAAAAAAAAACAUAUAAAGGUCAAUUUCCAAUCAGUCCAAUGUUGAAGGAUAAAAUUAAAAAAAAAAACAACCCAAAUCAUCAUGAGUUAACCUAUCAAACCCGAGUCAAGAGACCAGGAUAGCUCCAUAGAAAGUAAGUAAAAAAAUAUACAUUUCAAUUCUCAAUCAACUUAAUAUUAAAAAAUAAAAUUGAAAAAAAAAUAUUCAAUUAAAAAAC
rnacentral:lncRNA from 1 species